GGAGAAGUGUGGGUGAGUGACUCACUUCUGAGUGGAGAGUGUUCCACAGAGAAGGACAAUAGCAGAAGAGGGUCUCUUCCUGGAACCCACCAGUCAGAAUUCCUUGGAUUAGGGGGUCUGCAACAUAGCCUCAGGUGCUUCAGGCUAUUCCCUAUGCCUUUGACCAACUUCAGCUGGUAAGCCAGUUAACAGUUCUACCUACACCAGAAGCCAUCAGCAACAGUGACUCAUACUCUUAUCAUCAUUCAGUGGGACAAUAGCAAUGCAUACUUGAUGGGUCUGCAAUUGAAGAUGAUUCAAAAACUACAACUGUUUGAGAAGGGAGCAGCCAUAUUGCUGGGUCAAAUGACUAUUUCUGGAACCCCAAAUGCAGAAGACAAAAAUGAUGAUAGUCUAUGCCUACUGAAUUUCCAUCUUGCGGUUUUGCAAAGGAUUCUCCAAACGUCUGAAGGCACAUAAUUACAAAUUAAAACCCACUUUAAAUAAGAAGGCAAAAGAAAUAUAAACUCUAAUUGGAAAGUCCUGGUCUUCAACAAAGAAACAAAUUCAGAGAACACCAAUUGGGACGAGCAGGGCACAAAGUAUAGUAAGAAGGAAUGGAGGACUGGAUAUGUUUAGCCUUCAAAGCAAAGAUUUAACGCAAACAGGGACAUGUGAAAGUUGUCUUCAAAAUCUGAUAUAUGUCAUAUGGAAGACUGCCAGGACCUGCUCUCUAUCAUCUUAGAAAGCCAAACAUGAAAUAAAAUGUACAAAUUGCAAACUGGCAGAUUUUGAUUAAAUAUUGGGACAAUAUCCUAGCAAUAAAAAAAAUAGUGUUAUAGUGGAAUUAAUUACCUGCAGGAAAUGGAGCAAAGACAGACUUUGCUGAAUGAUAGGGACAUCUUGGGAAGCCAUGGACGAGUGGAUAAAAGAAAGAUCCAAAUGAAGUGUGCAACUAACUGUUUUCCCAAACCCCAGCCUUUAUAAAGUGCAUGAGUGUGAAAAUGGGGCAGAGCUUCUUUCAUUGUUUGUUUAU